rnacentral:rRNA from 1 species
GACGAACGCUGGCGGCGUGCCUAAUACAUGCAAGUCGAGCGCAGGAAAUCAUCCGAACCCUUCGGGGGGGACGUUGAUGGAAUGAGCGGCGGACGGGUGAGUAACACGUAAAGAACCUGCCCUCAGGUCUGGGAUAACCACGAGAAAUCGGGGCUAAUACCGGAUGGGUCAUCGGACCGCAUGGUCCGAGGAUGAAAGGCGCUUCGGCGUCGCCUGGGGAUGGCUUUGCGGUGCAUUAGCUAGUUGGUGGGGUAAUGGCCCACCAAGGCGACGAUGCAGAGCCGGCAGAGGAGGGUGAGCGGCCACACUGGGACUGAGACACGGCCCAGACUCCUACGGGAGGCAGCAGUAGGGAAUCUUCCACAAUGGACGAAAGUCUGAUGGAGCAACGCCGCGUGAACGAUGAAGGCCUUCGGGUCGUAAAGUUCUGUUGUAAGGGAAGAACAAGUGCCGCAGGCAAUGGCGGCACCUUGACGGUACCUUGCGAGAAAGCCACGGCUAACUACGUGCCAGCAGCCGCGGUAAUAC